UACGUAGGGGGCAAGCGUUGUCCGGAAUCACUGGGCGUAAAGCGCGCGCAGGCGGUCAUCUACGUCUGGGGUGAAAGCCCGGAGCUCAACUCCGGGACUGCCUUGGAUACGGGAUGACUUGAGGAUCGGAGAGGCAAGGGGAAUUCCACGUGUAGCGGUGAAAUGCGUAGAGAUGUGGAGGAACACCUGUGGCGAAGGCGCCUUGCUGGCCGAUUUCUGACGCUGAGGCGCGAAAGCGUGGGGAGCAAACAGG
rnacentral:rRNA from 1 species